GUAAGGCUGAGGGCGGUAAGGCGGACUCGGACAGAGUGAAUAUGUUACCCUUGAAUAUUAGGUCAUAUACUGAACCCCAAUAGAAACCUUUUUCUAGACGCUUUAUUUCUUUCCCAUCUUUCAAGACUAUGAUGGUCGGGACAUUAAUAACCUUGUAUAGUCUUGCAAAGAAUGCCUUCUCCAAAAUGUCGGCUUUGUAGAGUGAAAUACGGUUACCAUAGUAUCUGGCCAGUUGGGUUACUUGUUCAUCUACUAUAUCACACGGAUGUUAACGUAAGCAAUAUGGGUUGUUGGGCAUCCAUCAGAAAGCGUUCCCACUUAGUUUCCUGACUUUGCACUUCCCCUGCAUAUCUCGAAACAAUAGAUGAUCAAACAAAGAGGAGAUAACUGAUUAGAAUUAAUGUCACAUCCCGGUUCUUCCAAACCGGAAUGGUUUUGUUUUCUUAUUAAUUUAACUUGAUUUGGACCAAAACCCAUCAAGUGUUUCUCUUUUAUUUUUGGCCCGCGUAGUAAACCAUAGGGUUUCCACCUCAUUUUUUUAUAAAAAGGAGUCUCCUCUUUCUUUUCUCUUCCAUUUAGAAAUCAGAGCGAAGCCCUGCAGAGUUCCAGAGAUUUGAAAACCCUAGCCGUCAUGGUUUCUCUUUCUCUGCUCUCUCUCUCUCUCUCUCUCUCUCUCUCUUCUCUCUCUCUCUCUCUCUCUCUCUCUCUCUCUCUCUUCUCUCUCUCUCUUCUCCUUGUGUUUGCUGUUUGCUGAAGGCUGGAGCCAAGCCGUUGGAGAUCCCCGAUCAACCGAUCCAAUUCUAUGUCCAGAUCUCUCCAUGUCUUCUUUCUAGAUCUGGUCACUGGUGAGAUCUGGUUCGUUGAAAGCCAUAAGCUUCAGAUCUGGUUCUACUCUCUUUCCCAUUCUCAGAUCUAAGACCAAGGUUCGGCUCAUAUUGGUGGAUUUUUGUCUAAGACGUCCUGGGAUCCUAAAGACACAUUGUUUCGGCCUUGUGGCUGGAGACAAGUGUCAUGAUAUCGCCGACCAUUUCAGCUACGCUGGGUCGGGGUGUCACAAUUAAUCUAUAUGAUGAGAUGGUUAAUAAUCAUUUAUACCUUGACCAAAGCCACUACCGACCAAGUACAUUAGUAUUACUACCAAAACCGUUUUCUCCAUUGAUCGCUUUUCUCCCACACACACUCUUUCUUUUCUUGUUUUAUUUAUAGCCCAUGUGGUCUCGUUUUAUAAGCUUGAAAAGUCAGCAGUUUUACAAUUAACCAAUAACUAAUGAUCCAAUCAACACCAUCUCGUGUCUUAGCUGUCUCUUUUAUUUAAGCUAGCUGUCUCACUAACGUGAAUUUCAUUAUGAAUCAUUCUUUUAUUAUAAGUCAAGUCGAUAAAAUAAACGAAGUGUAAUUUAAAAUAUUAUGAAAAAAUUUAAUUUGUAUAAAACCUAAACAAUGAUUACAAUAUAUUCCAUCUUUUACAUUGUAUACUAUUUUAUUUGUUUUUUAAUCACUAAAUUAUAUAUACAAAAUUAUUUAACGUUAUUGAAUUAAAGUUGCCUACGCGUUUGCAAUAGAAAAAUUCUCUUGGAAAGUAUUUUUUAGUUUAUUUUCACAAACAUAGUUUUUAAGGAAGAAAGUGACCAAAAUAGGUUUUAUUAAAAAGUAAAUAUACAUAUAUUUCUAGGAUUAACUAAUUUAGACUUAGUAUUUAGAGUUAAAUGAUGAGAUUUUGGAGAUGAAGUUUUAAAUUUAAAUAUCUUUUAAAAAAUAUUAAAAUUUUCAAAAAGAGAAUUGUCAUUUAAUUUAAAAAAAAAAGAUAUUUGAGAGAAUUGUCAUUUUCAAAAAGAUAAAAAUAAUCAUUUUAUUCUAAAAUAUAUGAAAUAUCUAUAUUAUUAAAGUAAAAUCUCUAAUAUAUUAUGAGCUGUCAAAUGGUAUGUCCAUGGUCCAAUUGGGCAUGACCACUUGGACCAUUUCAGUUUUGGGUAGUAAUGGGUGGUUCAUAUUGGACAAUUGUCCAAACAAAUGAUCAAAAUCAAUAGAGACCAUGUCCAAAUGGGCAAGCCCAUAGACAUCCAAUAAUAUUUAUAAUUAUUUAUAAUUAUUAGUUUAUAUUUUAUUUUUAAAAUUUUAAAAUUAUGUUUAUUUUCCAAAAUUAUAAAAGUAUUUUUUUGUCAAAACUGUAAAACUAUGUUUUCUUCUCAAAAUCGAGAAAUUUCAUUUUUCCGCAAAAACUGAAAAAUUGCGUUUUCCCGCUAAAACAAAAAAAUUACGUUUUUCCGCCAAAACCAAGAAAUUGUGUUUUCCCGCCAAAACUGAGAAAUUGCGUUUUCCCGCCAAAACCGAGAAAUUGUGUGUUUUCCGCCAAAACCAAAAAAUGCGUUUUCCGCCAAAACCGAGAAAUUGUGUUUUUUUGCCAAAACCAAAAAAUGCGUUUUUCCGCCAAAACUGAGAAAUUGUGUUUUCCCGUCAAUGCUGAGGAAUUGCGCUUUUCCGCCGAAACCGAGAAAUUGUGUGUUUUCCGCCAAAACCAAAAAAUUAUGUUUUCCCGCCAAAACCGUAAAAUUAUGCUUUCCCGCCAAAACCGAGAAAUUGUGUUUUUCCUCCAAAACCGAGAUAUUGUGUUUUUCUGCCAAAACCGAGAAAUUUUAUUUUUCCGCCAAAAUCGAGAAAUAUCAUUUUUCCGCCAAAAUCGAGAAAUUUCAUUUUUUCGCAAAAAAACCAAGAUAUUGUGUUUUCCCGCCAAAAUCCGAGAAAUAGCGUUUUUCCGCCAAAACCGAGAAAUUAUGUUUUUCCGCCAAAACAAAAAAUGCGUUUUUCCGCCAAAACCGAGAAAUUGUGUUUUCCCGCCAAAACCGAGGAAUUGCGUUUUCUCGCCGAAACAGAGAAAUUGUGUUUUUCCGCCAAAACAAAAAAAAUUGUGUUUUCCCGCCAACACCAAAAAAUUAUGUUUUCCCGCCAAAACCGAGUAAUUGUUUUUUUCUGCCAAAAC